AGAACAACUCUCAGCAACGGAUAUCUUGGCUCUUGCAACGAUGAAGAACGCAGCGAAAUGCGAUACGUAGUGUGAAUUGCAGAAUUCCGCGAAUCAUCGAGUCUUUGAACGCAAGUUGCGCCCGAGGCUUGUCCGAGGGCAUUUCCGCUAGAGCGUCACCGCGCCCCCCCCCCCACCGCCCCCCACCCCGCGGGGUCGAGUGAAAGUG
rnacentral:rRNA from 1 species